CUGAUAUUGUGGAGAAUGUUCGAUUUGUAGCUCCAGGAGGACAAAAACCAGUUCACAUAUAAUGUAUGGAUGGAUGACUUACCUUGCACAACGCUCACUUAAUUCUUCUCAUCGUCACUGGACUCACAGGAAUUCACAGCAUAACCA